CCUGCCCCUAGGGGUGUCGUAGGUAUGGCCGCUGUGCCACACGCACCUCAGUAGGUAGCAGAGGAGAGAACACCCCUACGCUCAGUAUUCUGACUUAUGAACAUCUGAAUGAUCAGCAGCCUGAGAUC